AGUCUGCAACUCGACUACAUGAAGCUGGAAUCGCUAGUAAUCGCAAAUCAGAAUGUUGCGGUGAAUACGUUCCCGGGUCUUGUACACACCGCCCGUCACACCACGGGAGUCGGUCGCGCCUGAAGCCGGUGGCCUAUCAGUAAUGGGGGAGCCGUCUAUGGCGAGAUUGGUAACUGGGGUGAAGUCGUAACAAGGUAUC
rnacentral:rRNA from 1 species